rnacentral:rRNA from 1 species
CGUAGGGUGCGAGCGUUGUCCGGAAUUAUUGGGCGUAAAGGGCUCGUAGGCGGUUUGUCACGUCGGGAGUGAAAACUCAGGGCUUAACCCUGAGCCUGCUUUCGAUACGGGCAGACUAGAGGUAUGCAGGGGAGAACGGAAUUCCUGGUGUAGCGGUGAAAUGCGCAGAUAUCAGGAGGAACACCGGUGGCGAAGGCGGUUCUCUGGGCAUUACCUGACGCUGAGGAGCGAAAGUGUGGGGAGCGAACAGGAUUAGAUACCCUGGUAGUCCACACCGUAAACGUUGGGCGCUAGGUGUGGGACUCAUUCCACGAGUUCCGUGCCGCAGCUAACGCAUUAAGCGCCCCGCCUGGGGAGUACGGCCGCAAGGCUA